rnacentral:rRNA from 1 species
UGCCUUGGGCCAAUCGGAGGAUCUGUGCUGUCCCAGCAACCAAGUGGGUCAUCUGCCCUCGGGUGUUUGAUCCAUGAAAUGUUUGGUGGCAGUAACCGAACGCAUCUGAUGGGACUGCUCAGGGUGAAAGGUAUUGCAACGCCAGAGGUGAAAUUCUUAGACCGCUGCCAGACCAACUGCAGCGAAGGCGUUCUGCAAGUGCAUGUUCGUCGAUCAAGAAUGAGAGCGUGGGGAGCGAAGAUGAUCAGACACCGUCGUAGUCCACAGCUGUAAACCAUGCCAGCUCGGCAUUGAUGAGGUAAGCACAUGAACCUCAGCGGUGCCAUGCCCCCUGCAACGAGAAAUCCAAGCCUUUGGGUUCAGGGGGGAGUACUGUCGCAAGGCUGAAACUUAAAGGAAUUGACGGAAUGGCACCACAAGGCGUGGAGUAUGCGGCUUAAUUUGACUCAACACGGGGAAUGUUACCAGGUCAGGACGUUGCUGGGAUGGACAGAUUGAGAGCUCUUUCUUGAUCCUUCGGAUGGUGGUGCAUGGCCGCUCCUGAUUGGUGGAGUGAUUUGUCUGGUUGAUUCCGAUAACGAGUGAGAUCUCUGCCUCCCAAUAGCACCAGUCUCGCAUCUGGUAGGGUGGACCCCAGGGCAACGUCCCUUGGUAGCUUGCUGCCUUGGGAUUCCUGUGGGUUCCCUGAGAGCUCUGGUAUCAGCUUCUCUGAGGUGCUGUGUCUGCCACCAAAGGCACGCAUGCUAGAGCCAACAGCAGGUCUGUGAUGCUCCCAGAUGUCCUGGGCCGCACGCGCACUACAUUGACACAGUGAAGGUGUUAUGCUUCCUUGUGAAGCCCUGAUCAGAAGUGAUUGGGAAAUCCUGCAAGCCUGUGCUGUACUGGGGAUAGAUGAUUGCAACUGUCUGCCUUGAACGAGGAAUGCCUAGUAGGCGUGGGUCAUCAGCCCACACCGAUGACAA